ACGCUCGACACCUACUGGAGGCAGCAGUGAGGAAUAUUGGUCAAUGGGCGCUAGCCUGAACCAGCCAAGUAGCGUGAAGGAUGAAGGCUCUAUGGGUCGUAAACUUCUUUUAUAUAAGAAUGAAGUGCAGUAUGUAUACUGUUUUGUAUGUAUUAUAUGAAUAAGGAUCGGCUAACUCCGUGCCAGUAGCCGCGGUAAUCUGAGCGGGCUGGCAAGGC
rnacentral:rRNA from 1 species